rnacentral:sRNA from 1 species
UAGCCGAAGCCGGGGACAUGGCAACCAUAAUUC